rnacentral:rRNA from 1 species
AGAGUUUGAUCCUGGCUCAGAACGAACGCUGGCGGCGCGCCUAAUACAUGCAAGUCGAGCGAGAAGACGUAGCAAUACGUUUGUAAAGCGGCGAACGGGUGAGGAAUACAUGGGUAACCUACCCUCGAGUGGGGAAUAACUAGCCGAAAGGUUAGCUAAUACCGCGUACGCUCCUUGGACUUCGGUUCAGGGAGGAAAGCGAUACCGUGGGUAUCGCGCUCUUGGAUGGGCUCAUGUCCUAUCAGCUUGUUGGUGAGGUAACGGCUCACCAAGGCUUCGACGGGUAGCUGGUCUGAGAGGACGAUCAGCCACACUGGCACUGCGACACGGGCCAGACUCCUACGGGAGGCAGCAGUAAGGAAUAUUGCGCAAUGGGCGAAAGCCUGACGCAGCGACGCCGCGUGGGGGAUGAAGGUCUUCGGAUUGUAAACCCCUUUCGGGAGGGAAGAUGGAGCGAGCAAUCGUUCGGACGGUACCUCCAGAAGCAGCCACGGCUAACUUCGUGCCAGCAGCCGCGGUAAUACGAAGGUGGCAAGCGUUAUUCGGAUUUACUGGGCGUACAGGGAGCGUAGGCGGUUCGGUAAGCCCUUUGUGAAAUCUUCAGGCUUAACCUGGAAAAGUCGGAGGGGACUGCCGGGCUAGAGGACGGGAGAGGAGCGCGGAAUUCCCGGUGUAGCGGUGAAAUGCGUAGAGAUCGGGAGGAAGGCCGGUGGCGAAGGCGGCGCUCUGGAACGUUUCUGACGCUGAGGCUCGAAAGCGUGGGGAGCAAACAGGAUUAGAUACCCUGGUAGUCCACGCCGUAAACG